UACAUGGGGUGCAAACGUUGCUCGGAAUCAUUGGGCGUAAAGCGCGCGUAGGCGGUUACUUAAGUCGAAUGUGAAAGCCCUCGGCUUAACCGAGGAAGUGCAUCCGAAACUGAGUAGCUAGAGUACGAAAGAGGGUCGCGGAAUUCCCGGUGUAGAGGUGAAAUUCGUAGAUAUCGGGAGGAACACCUGUGGCGAAGGCGGCCCCCUGGUUGGAUACUGACGCUGAUACGCGAAAGCGUGGGGAGCAAACAGG
rnacentral:rRNA from 1 species